rnacentral:lncRNA from 1 species
AAAAGGCCAGGUUUACAAGAUGCUGAUGGAGAUACUUACUCACAGGAUACUUAAAGUUUACAUGGAAAAGAAUUGAAUAAAUGAAUGAAGGGAAAUCUAUUGCAUCUAAUUCAAAACACUCCUGUGAUGAAGUGUCUAACCCAAAGUUCAGAGAUUUGGGGAAGAAUUGCUCUGUGCUUGCCUUGCACAUAUGCAGUUCUCUAGCACUCUUGGGUGUUCUGCAGUUGCCCAGGUGGAGUGCCAUGCCUUCUGCUCUGCCAUGGGCAAUUCUGUUGUUGCCUGCAAUGAUUCCCCUUGACCAGCUCAUCUGAUUUAAGUUGCAAGCUCUAUAAUGUGAUCUGUUGCAAGGAACAUCUGCAGAAAUGGACUUGGAACUGUGCAACAAUCUGUAAGUAAUGUGAAGUACUGUGAAGUAAUGCAUCCCAACUCCUUCAUUCAAAGUGAGUGCAUUGGCUGCCCUUUACACAGGACUUGCUGUUGUAGAGCUCAGUGGGACCAUUUCUCAUUUUUGGAGGGCAGAGCCUCCCAAAGGAAGGUCGAGUCCUACUGCCCAUCCAGGUCAUCCAUUUCAUGCUGUCACACUAGUUUGCUGCAGAAGCAGAGGGCACUGUAGGCAGCAUGAUUUGAAAAGAAGAAUCAUUUGAAAAGAACUCCUAACUUCUCACUUAGAGUAUGCUUCUUUCUCUGAAGAUUACAUCAGUGUAGAGGGGAGCAAACAACUAGACAGGCUUCUGUGUGUGCUUUGUCCAGACAGUACAUGUAUCACUGCUAGAGUCUACUGCUAACACCUCUGACAGCAAUGAGACAGGAAGGAGGGGAGCAUGUUUGUGUAGCACACUGCUGCUUUUGCUGUUUCAUCAGGCAUUCUCCACAAGACUGUGUAACCACAGCUGCCUCAUUUGUUCCAUGUCAGUGAUAAGCACAUUGCAGAAAUUAAGAAAAAGACACUGCAAGAGGCGCUCCUUCAUUCAUAAUUUUAUAGUACUAUUUCUUGCAUUGCAGUGAAGUACUCUGAGCAAGCUUGAGGCCCCUUUUGGCUGUACAUCAGCUUGAUGAGAGGCAGCCUUUUCCCAGAAGAGCGGAUAAGCUUAGUAGAUUCGAUAAGCAAAAGCUGGGGGAAAGGAGGAAAUAUUAUCACUAUCAUAUGCUGCUAUGCAAGAUUACACUGUAGUUCAGCUGAGAGUUAAAAGAAUGAAGCACUUUAUGGAAGAAUUGCUCAGCAUCUUCUAGGACCAAGCUUCUAGAUAAGAAAAUGUGUGAAAUAAAUUGCAAAGUACAACAGGUGCA